AACGAACGCUGGCGGCAGGCCUAACACAUGCAAGUCGAACGCCCCGCAAGGGGAGUGGCAGACGGGUGAGUAACACGUGGGAACCUUCCCUAUAGUACGGAAUAGCCCAGGGAAACUUGGAGUAAUACCGUAUACGCCCGCAAGGGGAAAGAAUUUCGCUAUAGGAUGGGCCCGCGUAGGAUUAGCUAGUUGGUGAGGUAACGGCUCACCAAGGCGACGAUCCUUAGCUGGUUAGAGAGAACGACCAGCCACACUGGGACUGAGACACGGCCCAGACUCCUACGGAGGCAGCAGUGGGGAAUAUUGGACAAUAGGGCGGCAAGCCUGAUCCAGCCAUGCCGCGUGAGUGAUGAAGGCCUUAGGGUUGUAAAGCUCUUUUGCCGGGACGAUAAUGACGGU
rnacentral:rRNA from 1 species